AACUUCGGGAAACCGGAGCUAAUACCGGAUAACAUAUUGAACCGCAUGGUUCAAUAGUGAAAGGCGGCUUUGCUGUCACUUAUAGAUGGAUCCGCGCCGUAUUAGCUAGUUGGUAAGGUAACGGCUUACCAAGGCAACGAUACGUAGCCGACCUGAGAGGGUGAUCGGCCACACUGGAACUGAGACACGGUCCAGACUCCUACGGGAGGCAGCAGUAGGGAAUCUUCCGCAAUGGGCGAAAGCCUGACGGAGCAACGCCGCGUGAGUGAUGAAGGUCUUCGGAUCGUAAAACUCUGUUAUCAGGGAAGAACAAAUGUGUAAGUAACUGUGCACAUCUUGACGGUACCUGAUCAGAAAGCCACGGCUAACUACGUGCCAGCAGCCGCGGUAAUACGUAGGUGGCAAGCGUUAUCCGGAAUUAUUGGGCGUAAAGCGCGCGUAGGCGGUUUUUUAAGUCUGAUGUGAAAGCCCACGGCUCAACCGUGGAGGGUCAUUGGAAACUGGAAAACUUGAGUGCAGAAGAGGAAAGUGGAAUUCCAUGUGUAGCGGUGAAAUGCGCAGAGAUAUGGAGGAACACCAGUGGCGAAGGCGACUUUCUGGUCUGUAACUGACGCUGAUGUGCGAAAGCGUGGGGAUCAAACAGGAUUAGAUACCCUGGUAGUCCACGCCGUAAACGAUGAGUGCUAAGUGUUAGGGGGUUUCCGCCCCUUAGUGCUGCAGCUAACGCAUUAAGCACUCCGCGU
rnacentral:rRNA from 1 species